AGUCCUUCGCCGUCCCUCGCCGUCCUUCGCCAUCGCACGCCACCGCACCCCAUCUCUCGAAAUCUGCAGACAUCUUGAUUUUUCCCACGCUGUCUGUCAGGUCUCCGCCGCCACUCGACGCCAGGGCGCCGGGUGAGUCCACAGCAGGGCGCAUGGUCGGCUCCACUCUCACCAUCGGGGGAAACUGAGGCCCCGGGGAAGGCGGCCAGAGAGGUCAGGCCCUGUCCUUGGUGCAGUGUCUCGUCCUCUUUGCCGGAGUGAGCCCCCCAGGAUUCGCGUGUCCUCGGGAAAGACACUGGCAGGCCUUGUGGGCUGUGCUGCACCUCGGACGGCUUCGCACCAGCCAGCGCCCUCUCUCUCCUGCAGCACUCUGAUCUGCACCCCCUGAGGGGCUUCCACUGUCCGCGGGGUGAGAAUGCCCCUGGGAGUGUCACAUGACUGCCGCCCCAUGUGUGUGAGAGGCGUCCUCUGGGAGAGCAUGGAUCCUGAGGUCCCAGGAUUGUCAGCUGACCUCUGUCCUGUGUGCCCAGUGGCCCCAGGUGACGUGUCUUCAAGAAGAGGCUGAGCUGCGGUGCUUGUAAGGGUCUCAUUCUGUCACCCAGGCUGGAGUGCAGUGGUGCAAUGAUGGCUCACUGCAGCCUCGACCUGGGCUCAAGUGAUCCUCCACCUCAGCUUCCUGAGUAGCUGGGACCACAGAUGGGUCUGCUGUGUGCAGAGGCUCCAUGGGAUGUGUUGUCUUCAUAGUAGCAGGGCGCUGGACCAUGGGUCCGCAAGGUCUCAGCCUUAGAUCCAAGGACAGUCCAAGGAAGUCCUAAGACCAUGGAGUUGGUGAUCUGGGAUCUGGGUUUGCUGAUAUUUCUCACCGUGAAUCUCUUGGUGGUGUUUGUGGGCACGAGAGGGGCAGAGAAUGGAGAGUGAGGCUACCACAUGAAGCGUCACCAGAGCUGCUCCCUGCUGCCUGCUCAGAGCACCCCGGAUCCACUGUUCAAUCUGCACAAGAUUCGGGGUCCAGACAUGGGAGACUUCAGCUGCCUCAGAGGACCGUGGACAGGGAAGGCCAGCCUCGCAUCCCUCUGUCCAUGCCUGGAAUGACUUUAAUAACCAAGAGUUUUAUUUUUGAAUUUGUAGCUGUCGUUCACUUUUUACCCACCCAUUCAAUAAACCUUACAGAAUUGCUCCA
rnacentral:lncRNA from 1 species